rnacentral:rRNA from 1 species
UUACGCUGUUAUCCCUAAGGUAAUUUAAUCUUACAAUCAAAAUAAAUGGAUCAAGCAAAUAUAAAUAAAUAUAACAACACAAAGGAGGGGUUAAAUAAUAUCCCUCCCAUCACCCCAACAAAACAUAUUAAACAGCCCUAGUGAACCCUCACAAACAGAAAGAGACCGUGAAUAAAUGUCAAACUCUAUAGGGUCUUCUCGUCCCAUAAAAACAUCUAAGAAUUUUAACUCAAAGACCAAAUUCAAUAAACAAUUCAAAAUUAAGACAGCUUAUGCCUCGUCAAGCCAUUCAUACCAGAUCACAAUUAAAGAACUAAUGACUAUGCUACCUUUGCACGGUCAAAAUACCGCGGCCCUUCAACAUUCAAGGUCAGUGGGCAGGCCAUACUUCAAAAACUAACGAGAAGAGAUGUUUUUGAUAAACAGGCG